rnacentral:lncRNA from 1 species
ACAAUAUUUAUCCUCUGAGAAGUCGAAUUCUUAUCCUACCAAACUGGAACAUGACACCAAUUUUGAUAAAAAUUCAGUUCAAGCAUGUUUCUGUCAAUAUCAGAACUGAUUAUUUUGAAUGAAGCUAUGACUUCAAAUAAAUCCACUUUUUUCUAUAACAAUAAAGACAGAAGGAGAGGUAGAAUGUGCACCAAUUGUGAUUUAUUCUUACCUGCAAAACUUAUUUGGUUAUCAUCCAUAGUUCAAAUAUUUUAACACAAUGCUUAUAUCUGCCUUUUUUGUAUUUAAGAACUCUGAAUACAAAUACAUACUGCAAAGCAUAGACAACUCAAAGAAAUCACACCAACUGAUCAAACAAGGGAAGAAGAAUAUAUCAAUUGAAGAGGACCGGGAAGUAUGCUAGCAGACAAUAUUCAACAUUGAGAGAUUGACUUCUCAUUUCAGAUAUAUAUUGUCAUUGCUAAACUAAUAGACUUUAAGAGAACAAAUAUAAAACUAUAAUACACGAAGGCAAUACUCCAGCCGGUUGGUCUUUGAACUUCGGUAGAUGUAACUGUGUUCUUACCAAGGUCAGCGGAACAGAUACUGAGCACCGUACUAGUUCUCCGAUGGCACUAGG